rnacentral:lncRNA from 1 species
UAAUUUUGGUUUGAUUUGGUUUGGAAAACCAAAUUAAAACAAGACAUAAGACAGAAUCCUAGUAAGACUAGGAUUCCACCUUGCGCCACAUAAUCCUUCUCCACGCCCUCUCUCUUAUUCAACGCCAAUCUCCACUUAUUUUGUGUGACAAAAGCCCUCUUCCAGAUCUCUCCCACGUUCACAAAAGGUCUCAUCUCUUCUUUCUUACAUGGAAGGUGGUUUGGAUCAAAUCUAAAAGGAAUAAGUUUGUAUUUCGAAUUCUAUGAGAUAGAGUUUUAGAAAUCCAAAACUCUUUCAAUUUUGCACCGAAUUUAUCCAAAUUUUUUUUGGAAUUUUCAUGACUUUUAGAGUAUACAUUGUGCAUCCUUUUCUAGUAAUCCAUGCAUGAAAAUAUGAAGGAGGUGCUCAAGAGUUGGGCGUCCCUUAACUUGCCAUGUUUGGAUAAGCCUUGA